rnacentral:lncRNA from 1 species
GGACAUGGACAUGAACAUGAAGAAAGUAAAAUGGAACUUCCAGAUUAUAAACAAUGGAAAAUAGAAGGGACACCAUUAGAAACUGUCCAGAUGCUGGCUGCAUAAGGGCUAAGGUAUCCAUGGGGCUGCAAUGAAACUUGGAGAUACGUGGGUGGCUUUGCAAACAAUGUUUCCUUUGUUGGUGUCUUAUUAAAAGCAUUCAAAUGAGGAUUUGCUGCAUUUUUGGUAGCUGUGGGGGCUGAAUAUUACCUGGAGUCCCAGAAUAAAAAUAAGAAGCAUCACUGA